CCUACGGGAGACAGCAGUGGGGGAUAUUGCACAAUGGGGGAAACCCUGAUCCAGCAACGCCGCGUGUGUGAAGAAGGUUUUCGGAUUGUAAACCACUGUUCUUGGUGAAGAUAAUGACGGUAUCUAACGAAUAAGCACCGGCUAACUCCGUGCCAGCAGCCGCGGGAAUACGGAGGGUGCAAGCGUUACUCGGAAUCACUGGGCGUAAAGAGCGCGUAGGCGGGAUAGCAAGUCAGAUGUGAAAUCCUAUGGCUUAACCAUAGAACUGCAUUUGAAACUGUUAGUCUAGAGUAUGGGAGAGGUAGGUGGAAUUCUUGGUGUAGGGGUAAAAUCCGUAGAGAUCAAGAGGAAUACUCAUGGCGAAGGCGACCUGCUAGAACAUAACUGACGCUGAUGCGCGAAAGCGUGGGGAGCAAACAGGAUUAGAUACCCCUGUAGUC
rnacentral:rRNA from 1 species